GAUGAACGCUGGCGACGUGCCUAAUACAUGCAAGUCGAGCGAACAGAUAAGGAGCUUGCUCCUUUGACGUUAGCGGCGGACGGGUGAGUAACACGUGGGUAACCUACCUAUAAGACUGGGAUAACUUCGGGAAACCGGAGCUAAUACCGGAUAACAUUUGGAACCGCAUGGUUCUAAAGUGAAAGAUGGUUUUGCUAUCACUUAUAGAUGGGCCCGCGCCGUAUUAGCUAGUUGGUAAGGUAACGGCUUACCAAGGCGACGAUACGUAGCCGACCUGAGAGGGUGAUCGGCCACACUGGAACUGAGACACGGUCCAGACUCCUACGGGAGGCAGCAGUAGGGAAUCUUCCGCAAUGGGCGAAAGCCUGACGGAGCAACGCCGCGUGAGUGAUGAAGGGUUUCGGCUCGUAAAACUCUGUUAUUAGGGAAGAACAAAUGUGUAAGUAACUGUGCACGUCUUGACGGUACCUAAUCAGAAAGCCACGGCUAACUACGUG
rnacentral:rRNA from 1 species